GCCCGAGUGGCGGAAUGGCAGACGCAGUGGACUCAAAAUCCACCGGGGGCAACCCCGUGCGAGUUCGACUCUCGCCUCGGGCA
rnacentral:tRNA from 2 species